rnacentral:rRNA from 1 species
GAUGAACGCUGGCGGCGUGCCUAAUACAUGCAAGUCGAGCGAACAGACGAGGAGCUUGCUCCUCUGACGUUAGCGGCGGACGGGUGAGUAACACGUGGAUAACCUACCUAUAAGACUGGGAUAACUUCGGGAAACCGGAGCUAAUACCGGAUAAUAUAUUGAACCGCAUGGUUCAAUAGUGAAAGACGGUUUUGCUGUCACUUAUAGAUGGAUCCGCGCCGCAUUAGCUAGUUGGUAAGGUAACGGCUUACCAAGGCAACGAUGCGUAGCCGACCUGAGAGGGUGAUCGGCCACACUGGAACUGGGACACGGUCCAUACUCCUACGGGAGGCAGCAGUAGGGAAUCUUCCGCAAUGGGCGAAAGCCUGACGGAGCAACGCCGCGUGAGUGAUGAAGGUCUUCGGAUCGUAAAACUCUGUUAUUAGGGAAGAACAAAUGUGUAAGUAACUAUGCACGUCUUGACGGUACCUAAUCAGAAAGCCACGGCUAACUACGUG